rnacentral:rRNA from 2 species
GGAUGCAAUCAUAGCAGCACUAAAGCACCGGACCCCAUCAAAACUCCGAAGUUAAGCGUGCUUGGGCGAGAGUAGUACUUGGAUGGGUGACCUCUUGGGAAGUCCUCGUGUUGCAUUCC